rnacentral:rRNA from 1 species
UACGGGGGGGGCAAGCGUUGUUCGGAUUCACUGGGCGUAAAGGGUGCGUAGGUGGCCAGGUAAGUUCGGUGUGAAAGCUCGGAGCUUAACUCCGAAAUGUCAUUGAAUACUAUCUGGCUUGAGGGUCGGAGGGGAGACUGGAAUUCUCGGUGUAGCAGUGAAAUGCGUAGAUAUCGAGAGGAACACCAGUGGCGAAGGCGAGUCUCUGGACGACUCCUGACACUGAGGCACGAAAGCUAGGGGAGCAAACAGG